rnacentral:rRNA from 1 species
AUUGAACGCUGGCGGCAUGCCUUACACAUGCAAGUCGAACGGCAGCACGGGAGCAAUCCUGGUGGCGAGUGGCGAACGGGUGAGUAAAGUAUCGGAACGUGCCCAGUCGUGGGGGAUAACGUAGCGAAAGUUACGCUAAUACCGCAUACGAUCUAUGGAUGAAAGCGGGGGAGCGCAAGAACUCGCGCGAUUGGAGCGGCCGAUAUCAGAUGAGGUAGUUGGUGGGGUAAAGCCUCACCAAGCCGACGAUCUGUAGCUGGUCUGAGAGGACGACCAGCCACACUGGGACGGAGACACGGCCCAGACUCCGACGGGAGGCAGCAGUGGGGAAUUUUGGACAAUGGGCGAAAGCCUGAUCCAGUCAUGCCGCGUGCAGGAUGAAGGACUUCGGGUUGUAAACUGCUUUUGUACGGAACGAAAAGGUUUGGCCCAAUAAGCUGGGCUCAUGACGGUACCGUAAGAAUAAGCACCGGCUAACUACGUGCCAGCAGCCGCCGUAA